CCAGCGGAGACAAGCUACUCGUGCACAACCCGCACGAGAGGAGCGGCGAGCUCGGUGGACGACUGCAGGGCAGUAAGGCCACCUCGGACGUCUCUAUCCUCAACAUCAACCAACAGGUGACGUCGCUAUGCUGCGGCCGUCUGAAGAAGUCGACUACAGAUGGCAGUCCGGUCGGCGA